rnacentral:rRNA from 1 species
UACGUAGGGAGCUAGCGUUGUUCGGAAUUACUGGGCGUAAAGCGCGCGUAGGCGGCUUUGUAAGUUAGAGGUGAAAGCCCGGGGCUCAACCCCGGAACUGCCUUUAAGACUGCAUCGCUUGAAUCCGGGAGAGGUGAGUGGAAUUCCGAGUGUAGAGGUGAAAUUCGUAGAUAUUCGGAAGAACACCAGUGGCGAAGGCGGCUCACUGGACCGGUAUUGACGCUGAGGUGCGAAAGCGUGGGGAGCAAACAGG